CGGGGAGGUAGUGACGAAAAAUAACGAUACGGGACUCAUCCGAGGCCCCGUAAUCGGAAUGAGUACACUUUAAAUCCUUUAACAAGGACCAAUUGGAGGGCAAGUCUGGUGCCAGCAGCCGCGGUAAUUCCAGCUCCAAUAGCGUAUAUUAAAGUUGUUGCGGUUAAAAAGCUCGUAGUUGAAUCUGUGUGUCACAGUGUCGGUUCACCGCUCGCGGUGUUUAACUGGCAUUAUGUGGUACGUCCUACCGGUGGGCUUAGCUCCUUGCGGGCGGUCCAACUAAUCUCCCAUCGCGGUGCUCUUCACUGAGUGUCGAGGUGGGCCGGUACGUUUACUUUGAACAAAUUAGAGUGCUCAAAGCAGGCUACCUUCGCCUGAAUAUUGCGUGCAUGGAAUAAUGGAAUAGGACCUCGGUUCUAUUUUGUUGGUUUUCGGAACCCCGAGGUAAUGAUUAAUAGGGACAGAUGGGGGCAUUCGUAUUGCGACGUUAGAGGUGAAAUUCUUGGAUCGUCGCAAGACGGACUAAAGCGAAAGCAUUUGCCAAAAAUGUUUUCAUUAAUCAAGAACGAAAGUUAGAGGUUCGAAGGCGAUCAGAUACCGCCCUAGUUCUAACCAUAAACGAUGCCAGCUGGCGAUCCGCCGAAGUUCCUCCGAUGACUCGGCGGGCAGCUUCCGGGAAACCAAAGCUUUUGGGUUCCGGGGGAAGUAUGGUUGCAAAGCUGAAACUUAAAGGAAUUGACGGAAGGGCACCACCAGGAGUGGAGCCUGCGGCUUAAUUUGACUC
rnacentral:rRNA from 1 species